AGCUCAGAUGUAGAGUGCAUGCUUAGGAAGCAUGAGGUCCUGGGUUCAAUCUCCAG
rnacentral:tRNA from 1 species